rfam:Vibrio splendidus LGP32 chromosome 1
UCCGCGCAAACGAUUAAAUGCUGUAUAUGUUUGAUGAAAUGGAUCAAAUGUUUCUACUACCGAGCCUACCUUGGUGACUACAGUUUUUAGUGUAGAGAUC